rnacentral:rRNA from 1 species
GUGAGUAGUUCAGAGUUUGAUCCUGGCUCAGGAUGAACGCUGGCGGCGUGCUUAACACAUGCAAGUCGAACGAAGCACUUUGAAACAAUCCUCCGGGUGCGUUUCUUUGUGACUUAGUGGCGGACGGGUGAGUAACGCGUGGGUAACCUGCCUCAUGCAGGGGGAUAACAGUUAGAAAUGACUGCUAAUACCGCAUAAGCGCACAGUACCGCAUGGUACAGUGUGAAAAGAUUUAUCAGCAUGAGAUGGACCCGCGUCUGAUUAGCUAGUUGGUGAGGUAACGGCUCACCAAGGCAACGAUCAGUAGCCGACCUGAGAGGGUGACCGGCCACAUUGGGACUGAGACACGGCCCAA